ACGCUAGCGGCAGGCCUAACACAUGCAAGUCGAACGGUAACAGAUCUAGCUUGCUAGAUGCUGACGAGUGGCGCACGGGUGCGUAACGCGUAUACAAUCUACCUUUAACUGAGGGAUAGCCCAGAGAAAUUUGGAUUAAUACCUCAUAGUAUUAUAAUUAGGCAUCUUUUUAUAAUUAAAACUUCGGUGGUUAAAGAUGAGUAUGCGUACUAUUAGCUAGUUGGUAAGGUAAAAGCUUACCAAGGCAACGAUAGUUAGGGGGCCUGAAAGGGUGAUCCCCCACACUGGUACUGAGACACGGACCAGACUCCUACGGGAGGCAGCAGUGAGGAAUAUUGCACAAUGGAGGAAACUCUGAUGCAGCCAUGCCGCGUGCAGGAAGAAUGCCCUAUGGGUUGUAAACUGCUUUUAUACAAGAAGAAACCUCGGUACGUGUACCGACUUGACGGUAUGUAUGAAUAAGCAC
rnacentral:rRNA from 1 species